CAAUAGCGUAUAUUAAAGUUGUUGCAGUUAAAAAGCUCGUAGUUGGAUUUGUGGCUGUCACGGGCGGCCUAUCACUUAGUGUUAGUGCUUGCCUGUGUCGCCAUCCUUGGGUGGAGCCCGUGUGGCAUUAGGUUGUCGUGCGGGGGAUGCCCAUCGUUUACUGUGAGAAAAUUAGAGUGUUCAAAGCAGGCUUAUGCCGUUGAGUAUGUUAGCAUGGAAUAAUAAGAUAGGACCUCGGUACUAUUUUGUUGGUUUGCGCACCGAGGUAAUGAUUAAUAGGGACAGUUGGGGGUAUUCGUAUUUCAUUGUCAGAGGUGAAAUUCUUGGAUUUCUGAAAGACGAACUACUGCGAAAGCAUUUACCAAGGAUGUUUUCAUUAA
rnacentral:rRNA from 1 species